AUCCCAACCAUCUGGACUGGCUAACACAACUACUACUCAUAGCAGCUGCUUCUGGGUUUAGGCAUAGUUGACUCCAGCAGCUCAACAAUGUCGUCACACUGUGGAUCCUUGUAUGUCUCUCAUUGUUACUUCCCUAUGUCUUGGCUCAGGCAUGCAUGUCCUCUCAUGGUGGCAAAGUGGUUGCUAGAAGCUCCAAACCUACAUCCUUACAAUUCCAAGUCCAGCAUAAACAUGCAAGAAUGAUUCCCUUUCAGAAGAUCUAACUUUGCCUCUCACUGACUUUGACUAGUGUGUGUCCCUUCAGUGAACAUUCACAUUGGUCAGUCUUGAGUCAAUGCUUAUCCCUGUAGGUAGUAUUGAUAUUGACCAAAUCAUCUGGACUGAGGGUGGGAAAACAGAUGAUUUCACAAAGAAAAAUCAAUUGCAAUUAUAAGAAAACAAUAGACAUAAAAUAAAAUUUAAAAAUGUUUUCUGGCUGCCCUAUUUCCAUAUAAACUGUUUUCCCCACAACUUUAAUUUCAAAAUCUGAUAAUCCACAUGUAUUCACCUUCUCCCCAGAGGCAAUUCAAACCUUGUCUAUUUAUUGCAUCAUCCUAUUCCAUCACAACUAGACAAGGUAAACUCUUUUCUGCCAGGCUAACAUGGACCAGCAAUCUUAGAAAAAAAGAUGUAAGCAAUGAACACAGAGUUAUGAAGUUAGAAUGAUA
rnacentral:lncRNA from 1 species